rnacentral:rRNA from 1 species
GAGCAACCUGCCCCUGGCUCUGGGACAACCACUGGAAACGGUGGCUAAUACCGGAUACGACCCGCACAGGCAUCUGUUGUGGGUGGAAAGUUUUUCGGCUGGGGAUGGGCUCGCGGCCUAUCAGCUUGUUGGUGGGGUGAUGGCCUACCAAGGCGACGACGGGUAGCCGGCCUGAGAGGGCGACCGGCCACACUGGGACUGAGACACGGCCCAGACUCCUACGGGAGGCAGCAGUGGGGAAUAUUGCACAAUGGGCGAAAGCCUGAUGCAGCGACGCCGCGUGAGGGAUGACGGCCUUCGGGUUGUAAACCUCUUUCAGCUCCGAAGAAGCGCAAGUGACGGUAGGAGCAGAAGAAGCACCGGCUAACUACGUGCCAGCAGCCGCGGUAAUACGUAGGGUGCAAGCGUUGUCCGGAAUUAUUGGGCGUAAAGAGCUCGUAGGCGGUGUGUCGCGUCUGCUGUGAAAACUCAGGGCUCAACUCUGAGCUUGCAGUGGGUACGGGCACACUUGAGUGCUGUAGGGGAGACUGGAAUUCCUGGU